UCCCGUCUUUCUCCGUAGUCUAGCUCUAUUAACAAUUAAAUUCACCGUUGAAGGUAGAUUUAAUUGUUGAUAGAGCUAGACCAUCGGAGCGAGACCCUU
rnacentral:pre_miRNA from 1 species